rnacentral:tRNA from 1 species
AGAGAUGUAGCUCAGUGGUAAAGCAUGUGCUUAGCAUAUGUGAGGUCUUGGGUUCAAUCCCCAGCACCACUA